UGGGGAAUUUUGCGCAAUGGGCAAACGCCUGACGCAGCAACGCCGCGUGGAGGAUGAAGGUCCUUGGAUUGUAAACUCCUGUCAGCAGGGAAAAAGCGACUUGGCCUAAUACGCCAGGGAGUUGAUUGUACCUGCAGAGGAAGCCCCGGCUAACUCUGUGCCAGCAGCCGCGGUAAUACAGAGGGGGCAAGCGUUAUUCGGAAUUAUUGGGCGUAAAGGGCGCGUAGGCGGCUUUGCAAGUGGAAGGUGAAAUCCCUCGGCUUAACCGAGGAACUGCCUUCCAGACUGCUUUGCUUGAGGCCGGGAGAGGUGAGUGGAAUUCCCAGUGUAGCGGUGAAAUGCGUAGAUAUUGGGAGGAACACCAGUGGCGAAGGCGGCUCACUGGACCGGUUCUGACGCUGAGGCGCGAAAGCGUGGGGAGCAAACGG
rnacentral:rRNA from 1 species